GUUGAGCGGAGAUAUAUGGAGCUUGCUUUAUAUAACUUAGCAGCGAACGGGUGAGUAACACGUAGAUAAUCUAUCCUAUACUGGGGGAUAGCCCGAUGAAAGUUGGAUUAAUACCGCAUAUAGCUAUAUAGUUGCAUGAUUAUGUAGUGAAAGAUUUAUUGGUAUAGGAGGAGUCUGCGGCACAUUAGCUAGUAGGUGAGGUAAAGGCUUACCUAGGCGACGAUGUGUAGCCGGUCUGAGAGGAUGAACGGCCACAAUGGAACUGAGACACGGUCCAUACUCCUACGGGAGGCAGCAGUGGGGAAUAUUGCACAAUGGGGGAAACCCUGAUGCAGCAACGCCGCGUGAGUGAAGAAGGUUUUCGGAUUGUAAAGCUCUGUUAGCAGGGAAGAGGAAGGACGGUACCUGCAGAGGAAGCCACGGCUAACUACGUGCCAGCAGCCGCGGUAAUACGUAGGUGGCAAGCGUUGUUCGGAAUAACUGGGCGUAAAGGAUGCGUAGGCGGUUAAACAAGUUAUAUGUUAAAUAUAUAGGCUUAACCUGUAGAAAGCAUAUAAAACUGUUUAACUAGAGUGCAGGAGAGGUAAGUGGAAUUCCUAGUGUAGCGGUGAAAUGCGUAGAGAUUAGGAAGAACACCAGUGGCGAAGGCGACUUACUGGACUGUAACUGACGCUGAGGCAUGAGAGCAUGGGGAGCAAACAGGAUUAGAUACCCUGGUAGUCCAUGCUGUAAACGAUGGGUACUAG
rnacentral:rRNA from 1 species